AACGUAGGUCCCGAGCGUUAUUCGGAUUUACUGGGCGUAAAGCGUGUUCAGGCGGUCUAGCAAGUCGGGCAUGAAAUCUCUCGGCUCAACCGGGAGGGGUUGUCCGAUACUGCUGGGCUUGAGGGCAGCAGAGGGUGGUGGAAUUCCGGGUGUAGUGGUGAAAUGCGUAGAUAUCGGGAAGAACACCAGUGGCGAAGGCGGCUAUCUGGACGGUUUCUGACGCUAAGACGCGAAAGCGUGGGGAGCAAACAGG
rnacentral:rRNA from 1 species